AUGGCUCAGGAUGAACGCUGGCGGCGUGCCUAAUACAUGCAAGUCGUGCGGGGUAGCUUGCUACCCAGCGGCGCACGGGUGAGUAACACGUAGGUAACCUGCCUUUAAGACUGGGAUACCCAGACGAAAGUUUGGCUAAUACCGGAUAACAACGUGGAUCGCAUGAUCUGCGCUUGAAAGCUGCGUUUGCAGCACUUUUAGAUGGACCUGCGGCACAUUAGCUAGUUGGUGAGAUAACAGCCCACCAAGGCGAGGAUGUGUAGCCGACCUGAGAGGGUGACCGGCCACAAUGGGACUGAGACACGGCCCAUACUCCUACGGGAGGCAGCAGUAGGGAGUUUUCGGCAAUGGGCGCAAGCCUGACCGAGCAACGCCGCGUGAGUGAGAAAGGGUCUUCGGAUUGAAUAGCUCUGUUACGAGGGAGAAAUAUCCGUGGUAGGAAAUGACCGCGGCUUGAUAGUACCUCGCCAGAAAGCACCGGCUAACUUCGUGCCAGCCGCUGC
rnacentral:rRNA from 1 species